rnacentral:rRNA from 1 species
GUGCCAGCAGCCGCGGUAAUACAGAGGGUGCGAGCGUUGUUCGGAAUUAUUGGGCGUAAAGCGCGUGUAGGCGGUGGUGCAUGUCGCGUGUGAAAUCCCUCGGCUCAACCGGGGAAGUGCGCGCGAAACUGCAUCGCUGGAGUGCCGGAGAGGGUAGCGGAAUUCCCGGUGUAGAGGUGAAAUUCGUAGAUAUCGGGAGGAACACCAGUGGCGAAGGCGGCUACCUGGACGGACACUGACGCUGAGACGCGAAAGCGUGGGUAGCAAACAGGAUUAGAUACCCGCGUAGUCC